UGAGGGAUAUUGGGCAAUGGGGGAAACCCUGACCCAGCGACGCCGCGUGAGGGAAGACGGUCUUCGGAUUGUAAACCUCUGUCUUUGGGGACGAAAAAGGACGGUACCCAAGGAGGAAGCUCCGGCUAACUACGUGCCAGCAGCCGCGGUAAUACGUAGGGAGCGAGCGUUGUCCGGAAUUACUGGGUGUAAAGGGAGCGUAGGCGGGAUUGCAAGUUGGAUGUGAAAACUGCGGGCUCAACCCGGAGAGUGCAUUCAAAACUGCGAUUCUUGAGUGAAGUAGAGGCAAGCGGAAUUCCUAGUGUAGCGGUGAAAUGCGUAGAUAUUAGGAGGAACACCAGUGGCGAAGGCGGCUUGCUGGGCUUUUACUGACGCUGAGGCUCGAAAGUGUGGGGAGCAAACAGG
rnacentral:rRNA from 2 species